UGUGUCAUGCAGCUGCUAUGGGGGGAUGGAGGAGGAGUGGCAUUGGCAAUUCAAGACUGCCUUUCCUACCCUUUUCAGUGCCUCUUUCAGUGAUACGAAGCUAAAACCAGAUACUGCUUUCAUAGUACUUUUCUGACCACGGUUUUCUGGAGUUUUUUCGUAUGGAGUUUGUAAGCUUCCUGACAUGGAUUAUAACUGUACUUGAUGGAGCACAGUUAUAAUAGCUGCUUUAGAGUCCUUGAUAAUUCCCACAUCUGAGUCAUCUCAAGUUAUUUUUGGCAGAUUUUGAUGGAUGUACAUUGAUGGAUAGCCACGUGGAUCCAGAAAAUAAAGACUUCUACUCUGCAUUUGACUAAAGCAGAAGAUAUGCAAGGAAGCUCAGUCUCUCAAUUGAGUGGAUUCUGAAAUUUAUCCUGUUGUCUUCAGCUACUAAGGCUAAUUUGCAAAUCACACUGUGCACGGAAACAACCUGUUCAGUGGCUGCUGAUUAACUCCCCAAGAUUGAUGUACUGAAGAAGGAUGACCUCCCCUUGACACCAAUGCUACUAGUCAAUAACGACCACUGUGACUCAGAACAAAUUCUCUGGGGGCAGGCAGUGAAGCUUCUUCUCUUGUUGACCUUACCAGACCACAAGGCUGAAAAUAUUCUGUGGCCUGAUGCCCUUAAAUUGAUCAUAUUAAUACAAUCAAGCAGAAAAGAAAUUAAUUUUCCCUCUCUCUCUCUGUCUAUAUAUAUACUUACUACUAUAUAUAUGUGUGUAUAUAUAUGCUAUAUAUGUGUGUGUAUAUAUAUAG
rnacentral:lncRNA from 10 species